UUGUAGCUAAUCUGUCCAGGGAGAAUACUGGC
rnacentral:piRNA from 1 species